ACUUCAGGUGAAUAUGUUAACAAGGGGGCGGUGUAGUUUAUUUUUGGACCGGUUUAAAACACGUGGGGACCCCGCCAUUAUUUUGGGAUACCUCCGGGAAACCGGGGCUAAUACCGGAUAACAUUUUGAACCGCAUGGUUCAAAAUUGAAAGGCGGCUUCGGCUGUCACUUAUGGAUGGACCCGCGUCACAAUAGCUAGUUGGUGAGGUAACGGCUCACCAAGGCAACGAUGCGUAACCGACCUGAGAGGGUGAUCGGCCACACUGGGACUGAGACACGGCCCAAACUCCUACGGGAGGCAGCAGUAGGGAAUCUUCCGCAAUGGACGAAAGUCUGACGGAGCAACGCCGCGUGAGUGAUGAAGGCUUUCGGGUCGUAAACAUCUCUGUUUGUUAGAGAAAGAAACAAAGUAGCCUAGUUGAAUAAGUCUGGGCACCUUGGACGGUACCAUAACCCAGAAAAGCCACGACUAACUACCGUGCCCAGCAGGCCGCGGUUAAUACCUAGGUUGGCAAGCGUUAUCCGGAAAUUAUUGGGCGUAAAGCGCGCGCAGGGUGGUUUCUUAAGUCUGAUGUGAAAGCCCACGGCUCCAACCGUGGAAGGGUCAUUGGAAACUGGGACACUUGAGUGCAGAAGAGGAAAGUGGAAUUCCAUGUGUAGCGGUGAAAUGCGUAGAGAUAAUGGAGGAACACCAGAUGGCGAAGGCGACUUUCUUGGUCUGUAACAGACACUGAGGCGCGAAAACGUGGGGAACAAACAGCGAUUACAUACCCUGGUAGUCCCAUCGCCGCAAACGAUGAGUGCUGAAGUGUUAGAAGGGUAUACGCCCUUUAGUGCUUGAAGUUAACCCCUCAUUAACCUACUCCGCCUGCGCAGCUACCGGCCUCUGCAAGGUUUUCUGAAACUCAAAGGAACCACACCGACGGCCCGCAUUACACACCGCUGGACUCAUGUCGGUUUAAUUCGAAGCAACGCGAAGAACCUUACCAGGUCUUGACAUCCUCUGAAAACCCUAGAGAUAGGGCUUCUCCUUCGGGAGCAGAGUGACAGGUGGUGCAUGGUUGUUGUCAGCUCGUGUCGUGAGAUGUUGGGUUAAGUCCCGCAACGAGCGCAACCCUUGAUCUUAGUUGCCAUCAUUAAGUUGGGCACUCUAAGGUGACUGCCGGUGACAAACCGGAGGAAGGUGGGGAUGACGUCAAAUCAUCAUGCCCCUUAUGACCUGGGCUACACACGUGCUACAAUGGACGGUACAAAGAGCUGCAAGACCGCGAGGUGGAGCUAAUCUCAUAAAACCGUUCUCAGUUCGGAUCGUAGGGUGGAACUCGGGGAGAAUGGGGUGGUUUUAUUGUGUUUUCGGUUUGUUGUGCCCCAUGGCAAAAAAGGGCAUGCUGAUGCUGAUCUCUCACAG
rnacentral:rRNA from 1 species